GGGGGCUGAGGGCUCGCCGGGGGAAGACCGUCCCCGCCGGGCCCCGUGGAGGGCUGCGGGGCCGUCGGGCCGGGCAGGGUCGGUCCUGAGUCCUGGGGCUCCCGCGGCGACACCCCGAGCGCGUCCACUUGGCCCCGGGGUGGCGCGUCCGCUGUGCCGCCGGGCCUGGGGACACCCCGGUGUCCGGGGCCGCCGUAGGGAUCGGAGGCGGACGGCUCCCCGCUGCCCCGGGGCAUGCUGAGCCUGCCCCGUGUCCCCGCUCCCCGCCCUGGCGGUGCCUUGCCCGGCUGGAGGCCUGGACCGGGUCCGAGCCGCCUCGCCUGCCCCCGGCCCGGCCGCCCUUGGCCGCCAGAGCCCCUCGGGGCUCCCUCCGGGCCGGCUGGCGGCGGGUGACAAAACUCAUAUGCGGUUUGGGUCAAAACCAUGGUCAGGAUAGCGCUAAAAAUCUGCAUUCCCUGCCCUGUGCUGUGAAUACCGGGAAGGAGAGGUCCGUAGUGAAAUUGUGUUCUUAACACUGAACGUGGACCUGCAUCAAAACAUGACUGUGUUCUUAAGCACUUUGACUCCAAAAUUCUACUUUGCCCUUACAGUGACGUCGUCUUUUAUAUCUGGACUGAUAUUUGUAUUUGAGUGGUGGCAUUUUCGAAAAUAUGGCACAUCGUUCAUUGAGCAGGUUUCUGUGAGUCAUUUGAGGCCCCUCAUCGGAGGUGUAGAAAACAGCCCCCCAGCACCAGCAGCGUUCUCGGCUGGAGAGAAUGAGACGAGCAGGCAGAACAUGCCAGAGUGCAAAGUGUGGCGAAAUCCUCUCAAUCUUUUCAGAGGGGCAGAGUAUAGCAGGUACAUGUGGGUGACUGGGAAGGAGCCUCUUACGUACUAUGACAUGAAUUUGUCUGCUCAAGAUCAUCAAAACUUUUUCACGUGCGAUACAGAUGCCCUUCGGCCUUCAGAUACAGUUAUGCAGAAAGCCUGGCGCGAGAGGAACCCGCAAGCCCGGAUUAAAGCAGCGCAUCAGGCGUUGGAGUUGAACAACGAUUGUGCCACUGCAUAUGUCCUCCUGGCUGAGGAAGAAGCAACAACGAUUGUGGAUGCUGAGAGGUAUUUCAAGCAGGCUCUGAAAGCAGGAGAAAUGAUUUACAGGAAGUCUCAGAACUGCCAUUCCCAAAGUCCCCAGCACGAAGCACAGCUGAGAAGAGACACCAAUGUAUUGGUAUAUGUGAAAAGGAGACUAGCCAUGUGUGCAAGAAAACUUGGCAGAAUACGAGAAGCAGUGAAAAUGAUGAGAGAUCUGAUGAAAGAGUUUCCACUUCUCAGCAUGCUGAAUAUUCAUGAAAACCUGCUGGAGGCACUGCUGGAGUUACAGGCUUACGCGGAUGUCCAGGCAGUGUUAGCCAAGUAUGACGAUAUCAGUCUUCCAAAAUCGGCAGCAAUAUGUUACACAGCAGCCCUGUUAAAAGCCAGAGCGGUUUCAGAGAGGUUCUCCCCAGAAACUGCCUCCAAAAGAGGGCUCAGUACAGCAGAAAUUAAUGCUGUGGAAGCAAUUCACAGAGCUGUGGAGUUUAACCCUCAUGUUCCAAAGUAUUUACUAGAAAUGAAAAGCUUAGUGCUGCCUCCGGAGCACAUUCUGAAACGAGGGGACAGCGAGGCAGUGGCGUAUGCUUUUUUCCACCUCCAGCACUGGAAGAGGAUAGAAGGGGCUCUGAAUCUGCUGCACUGUACAUGGGAAGGCACAUUUAGGAUGAUCCCGUACCCGUUAGAGAAAGGUCAUCUUUUCUAUCCCUAUCCGAGUUGCACAGAAACAGCAGACAGGGAACUGUUGCCAACAUUUCAUGAAGUCUCCGUUUACCCACAGAAGGAACUUCCCUUUUUCAUCCAUUUCACAGCAGGCCUAUGUUCCUUCUCGGCAAUGCUCGCCCUCCUCACGCACCAGUUCCCCGAGCUGAUGGUCGUUUUUGCUAAAGCUAUGCCAUCUAGAAUAUGGAUCCUGUCUGGAAGCACGGGCCAGCCUUGGUGGAUGGUCUGUUCAGUUUUCACACGUUUGAGUCGAUGACCUAUAAAUAAUCCAUGCCUGAAUCCCCAAGAAAAUGCGCUCCCCUCCUCCCCGGUCGGUUCAACGCUGAAGGCGCGGUGCUCAGGGCAGCUGGAAGAGCGGUGACGCAGGGAAAUGCCAUCCUAACCCCCCCUGCCUCUGCGGGGGUGCUGGGGCACAGCCAAACGCCAUCCUAACGCCUCUGCCCCUGCCCAGGUGCUGCGGGUGCUGUGGCCGGUGAGUGCUCCCAGCGUUCUGGCCUCCAGCUGAGUGGACACGCCGCGGGCACCGGGGUGCUUUGGGACUCUUCUUUCACCCUUCAGCUUCAUUAUGGAAUACAUUGAGGUCCUCCUGCUGCCCAGUCUCUGGCCUCAGCAGACUCCAGUGUGACUGGGGCGCUUUCCACCAUGGUUCGAUUUCGCUGCUCUCACCAGCCUCGCCCCCGCUGUCUAGCGCAGCCCUAGACGUGGGGGGCAAGGAUGAAAGCUGUGCCGGUCCAACUGGUAGCUUUGACAGGCUUCCAUGUUGGUAAAGGUGCUUAACAUGAGUUUCUUCUUUGGCCUUAGUCUGUAAUCAUCUAAGAAAAUAGUUUUUUGUUGAGCAAUACCGUAUUGCUCUCUCAAUCACUUGUAGGACUGGAAGCUAAUACUUCCUCUGUAAAAAGGAGAGGACACACACUGAGCAGAUGUUUGGAAUAUUGGCGCUUCCUUCUCAGCUGCAGAUACACCAGAUAAUUGGCUUAGAUUUAAUUUUAUAAGCCUUUUUCAAAAUAUUUGUUAACAGCAAAGUAUGGUUUUGCUUUCUUUAUUAAAAGGUUGCUUCGUAACACGUUGAA